CACGUAGGCACCAAGCGUUGUCCGGAUUUAUUGGGCGUAAAGAGCUCGUAGGCGGUUGAGUAAGUCGGGUGUGAAAACUCUGGGCUUAACCCAGAGCCGCCACUCGAUACUGCUCUGACUUGAGUUCGGUAGGGGAGCAGGGAAUUCCUGGUGUAGCGGUGAAAUGCGCAGAUAUCAGGAAGAACACCCGUGGCGAAGGCGGCUCUCUGGGACGGUACUGACGCUGAGACGCGAAAGCGUGGGGAGCGAACAGG
rnacentral:rRNA from 1 species